rnacentral:rRNA from 1 species
CCUACGGGAGGCAGCAGUGGGGAAUUUUGGACAAUGGACGAAAGUCUGAUCCAGCCAUGCCGCGUGCGGGAAGAAGGCCUUCGGGUUGUAAACCGCUUUUGUCAGGGAAGAGAUCUUCUGGGCUAAUAACUCGGGAGGAUGACGGUACCUGAAGAAUAAGCACCGGCUAACUACGUGCCAGCAGCCGCGGUAAUACGUAGGGUGCAAGCGUUAAUCGGAAUUACUGGGCGUAAAGCGUGCGCAGGCGGUUAUGCAAGACAGAUGUGAAAUCCCCGGGCUCAACCUGGGAACUGCAUUUGUGACUGCAUAGCUAGAGUGCGGCAGAGGGGGAUGGAAUUCCGCGUGUAGCAGUGAAAUGCGUAGAUAUGCGGAGGAACACCGAUGGCGAAGGCAAUCCCCUGGGCCUGCACUGACGCUCAUGCACGAAAGCGUGGGGAGCAAACAGGAUUAGAUACCCUGGUAGUCCACGCCCUAAACGAUGUCAACUGGUUGUUGGGAAGGUUCCUUCUCAGUAACGUAGCUAACGCGUGAAGUUGACCGCCUGGGGAGUCGGCCGCGAAGGUUGAAACGUUAAGUGAAUUGAGGCGNGAGAGNGCGAGGACGACGACGAGGGAGGAGG